rnacentral:rRNA from 1 species
AUAUUGCCCAAUGGACGCAAGUCUGAGGCAGCAACGCCGCGUGGGCGAUGAAGGCCUUCGGGUUGUAAAGCCCUUUUCUGGGGGAAGAGGAAGGACGGUACCUCAGGAAUAAGUCACGGCUAACUACGUGCCAGCCGCCGCGGUAAUACGUAGGUGGUAAGCGUUAUCCGGAUUCACUGGGCGUAAAGCGCGUGCAGGCGGUUUCGUAAGUCGGACGUGAAAGCUCCUGGCUUAACUGGGAGAGGUCGUUCGAUACUGCGGGGCUUGGGGUGGGGAGAGUGACGUGGAAUUCCCGGUGUAGUGGUGGAAUGCGUAGAUAUCGGGAGGAACACCAGUGGCGAAGGCGACGUCCUGGCCCGCACCUGACGCUGAGACGCGAAAGCGUGGGUAGCGAACGG